GCACCGGAGCGCACCCGCCCCCCUUUCGACCGAUGAGAUUCUUCUUUUUUUCCAGAUGUCCCGCCCCGAUCCCACUCCCUAAUUUUUGUGGGUCUGUUCACGCGCAUCUGUGCUCCGUGCGGGGGUCCGUUCACGUGCUUCAACCCCCUUUCUCUCUCACCCCCUGGUCUGGGGCCCCGUGCAAAUUAUCCAGCCCGCACGCGGUCGGAUUUCAGGCGGCUAGUGUCAUGCCGUUCCGGUCUUAAACUUUAGCUAAUAUUUAAUACAUCUUGGAUAAAUUUGGAUUAAAGCUAGCUAGCAAAAAUUCCCCAAUUGAAAGAGUUUAGCAAAAAAAAAAAAAAAAAAAAAAAACCAGUGCUUAGCAUCAGUUAGGUUAGUCUGGCUAUUUAUAUUUAGCCACUUUUUACCAACAAGCAUACGGGGAACAUUUAAUGCACAAUGUACAAAUUAUUUAUUUGUUACUGCUGUGUAUAAGUGAUUUAUCUGAAGCUAGUCAAAGUUGAUGGUCGUAGUGAUGAACUUUUUUUUUCCCCUUUUCUUGUGUAUCGUGCGAUUUUCGUUUUUUUUUUUAUUAAUAUUUUAUUUUUUAAACAUAAACAGUAUCUGUUAUAUGCAAAAAAAUAUAUUUUAAGAGAACUUGUGACAGGUGUUUCGAUGGGAAAAGAACUUUAGGGUAUAUAAGAAACGAGACGGACUAACAUUUUCCAAUGAAGAAAUUCGGGGAUCGACAUGAUGGCUCAUGCUUUAAAAGUUCAAGCUGAAAUUCACCGGGUGCCUGAGUAUCAGGUUACAGCGGAAGAACUAGAGGGUAUUAGCCUCACUCAGACGGAUCCAGGUACCGUACCUCUGUUUUUUUGUUUUUGGCCUCUGCUAUUUAGUUCUGGU